rnacentral:lncRNA from 1 species
CUGAUGUUCUGAUAUUCUUUCGCUAUUUCUGUAUUUUUUUUUUUAAUAAAAAAAGGCUGAAACUCUUGCCCAGUGAUAAAGUUGCCUCAUCUUGCCAGUAGAUCUCUACAAACAGGAUUUAUCCAUUGCAUCAAGUCCCAAGUAUGACAGUUUUGUUUUUUUUUUCUUUUCAUUUCUUGAGAGGAGUGUGUUCUGUACCACCACAUGAAGGGGAAAUUUCACUGUGUAACGGACUCCUCAGGUAUGAUCCAUAUCCUCCAGGGCCUGCAUGGAUUGCUUGCCUAUUUUGUUUCGGCUUCUCUCCAUCCACCUCACCUGUGAUGGUAGCUGAGUGUAGCAGAAAGAGCUUGAAGAGAAAGAAGGGGAAGGGCUGCAGGGUGAGAAUGGGCCAAGCACAGUUUCUGGUCCAUAAUGUUUAUUAAUUCAUUCUGUAAACAUAUAUGGAAGCAACUGCACGUUAAGCGUGGUUCCAAGUUCUGAGGAAGAGUGAUUGGGGUUGGGGGGUGGGGGAAGAAAACACAAAACCAAACACCCAAGUCUCUGCUCUCAUAGGCAGAGCUUCGACUCUAGAGGCAGUUCAGUGCUUGCGGAGCGAAGGGACGCCUAGACACAGGGAGUGACAGCAGAGGUGGCAGCUGGGGGCAGCUCCAGCUUCCGGCUUUGUGUGACUGUUGAGUCCUGACUUACCCAAAUCGACUUCUCCAUCCCAACUUGGGGAGUCCGGUCUCUGCGGAACAAACUAACCCAAAGAAAUGGUGUUGCCUGGCAAGAGAUUUGCUAUACUUCAUGAAAAAUCAGACCAAGUCUUCUUUUUUGAAGAACCACAUCAUAGAAUCAACUGGAUAAAGAAAUGGCAACCCACUCCAGUAUUCUUGCCUGGAGAAUCCCAUAAACAGAGGAGCCUGGCGGUCUACCGUCCAUGGGGUCACAAAGAGUCGGACACAGCUGAGAGAUUGAGCCCAUCAUGGAUUCAACAUCUUUUUGAGUCAGAUGAACCUCACCAUGAACAUUUUGAAAAUGAAAUGAAACCUAGUGAUGUAAACUGAUUUGCCCAAAUUCACACACAAAGUCAAUUGUCUAAUGAGAAGACAUGCUGACCCUAGAGUCUAUACCAUCUAAAAACAUUGCUUCCCAAGAGGAACUUAAGUCUUUAUUUCUAGUUUGAUCAGUGUCAGAUACUUAGAAUUAAAUAUUUCUUCUAACAAAGUAAGAUUGGUUUUAUUAACUAGCAGGAACCAGAAAAGUCGCAGGACUACAGGACUAUUGUCACCUCUCUGGGUGACUCACUUCUUCUUCCUAAUGGCCAGUCAGCAGGCCUUUUAGGUUUAAUUCAG